rnacentral:rRNA from 1 species
GACAACGCUGGCGGCGUGCCUAACACAUGCAAGUCGAGCGGGGUUGAAGCGAGAGGUAACUCGAGCUUCUACCUAGCGGCGGACGGGUGAGUAACGCGUGGGCAACCUGCCUCAAGGUUUGGGAUAACAGCCCGAAAGGGCUGCUAAUACCGGAUAUGCCUAUGGCCUCGCAUGGGGCUAUGAGCAAAGGGGAAACCCGCCUUGAGAUGGGCCCGCGUCCCAUCAGCUAGUUGGUGAGGUAACAGCUCACCAAGGCGACGACGGGUAGCCGGCCUGAGAGGGUGACCGGCCACACUGGGACUGAGACACGGCCCAGACUCCUACGGGGGGCAGCAGUGGGGGAUCUUGCACAAUGGGCGAAAGCCUGAUGCAGCGACGCCGCGUGAGCGAAGAAGGCCUUCGGGUUGUAAAGCUCUGUCUGGAGGGACGAACAAAAUGACGGUACCUCCGGAGGAAGCCACGGCUAACUACGUG